UGUUCAUUUAAAUAACUUCGCUUCUGUCAUGUAUCAGGAGUUGACUUUUGUUCUUCUGUCCCAGGCGUUCUGGCUCCUCGCCAAGGGCGCACGCGCUGACAGCCGCCACUAAUGCCGGUGAUAAUGCAGAUAGUCGAGAUGAAACGGGACAGGUCCUUGCGAGAGCCUCAUUAGCCAGGCUUCCAUCAGCUUAAUAUUUUGGCUGAAAAGAGGAUAUGACCAUGAACUGAGAGGGUCAUUUGCCUUUUCAGAUGAGAUUAUGAGCUGUAAUGGAGGGGGAGGUGGAGACUGCUGAGACAAGGAGAAAUGGCCUGCUGUGAGGAUGGCAGAUUUGAUGGCUAGUCGAUACAGAGGGAGAGGAGAGGGGGGGAAAUCAGAACAACAAAACAACAAGAAAGCAGAAAGAAAGACCAAAAGAACAAGCGUUUUUGAUAAAGUGCUUACAGAGCGAUUACUGUGAGUUGUGCAGAGAUGGUGCAGUGCUCACACAGGGCGAGGAAGCAUGGCAAAGACAUGUGCUCAUCUACCAUUGUAAAAACUGGAAGAUGAUAUUCAUACAAUUCAUUUGAUUUUGGAGAACUGAACAAAAACAACUUAAUAUGAUGUAUGCUGAUAUAAAAACAAUAUCUAAAUUAAAACCAUCUUUUAUAAUGC
rnacentral:lncRNA from 1 species